ensembl:misc_RNA Metazoa_SRP Metazoan signal recognition particle RNA
GCCAGGCAUGGUGGCGCAUGACUGUAAUCCCAGCUACUCAGGAGGCUGAGGCAGGAGGAUCACUUGAGCCCAGGAGUUUGAGUCUGCAGUGAGCUAUGAUUGUGCCACUGCACUCCAGCCUGGGUAACAGAAUGAGAUCUCAUCUCUU